GAUGAACGCUAGCGGCAGGCUUAACACAUGCAAGUCGAGGGGUAUGCCGAUUUAUCGGCAGAGACCGGCGCACGGGUGCGUAACGCGUAUGCAAUCUACCUUUCACAGAGGGAUGGCCCAGAGAAAUUUGGAUUAAUACCUCAUAGUAUAGCAGUUUCGCAUGAAACCACUAUUAAAGUUCCAACGGUGAAAGAUGAGCAUGCGUCCCAUUAGCUAGAUGGUAAGGUAACGGCUUACCAUGGCUACGAUGGGUAGGGGUCCUGAGAGGGAGAUCCCCCACACUGGUACUGAGACACGGACCAGACUCCUACGGGAGGCAGCAGUGAGGAAUAUUGGACAAUGGGCGCAAGCCUGAUCCAGCCAUGCCGCGUGCAGGAAUAAGGUCCUAUGGAUUGUAAACUGCUUUUAUACAGGAAGAAACACACCCUCGUGAGGGUACUUGACGGUACUGUAU
rnacentral:rRNA from 1 species